GAAACGACUGCUAAGACUGGAUAGGAAGAAAUAAGGCAUCUUUUUUCUUUUAAAAGACCUAGUGAUAGGUAUACUUUAGGAGGGGCUUGCGCCAUAUUAGUUAGUUGGUAGGGUAAUGGCCUACCAAGACGAUGAUGUGUAGCUGGACUGAGAGGUUGAACAGCCACAUUGGGACUGAGACACGGCCCAAACUCCUACGGGAGGCAGCAGUAGGGAAUUUUCGGCAAUGGAGGAAACUCUGACCGAGCAACGCCGCGUGAACGACGAAGUACUUUGGUAUGUAAAGUUCUUUUAUCAAGGAAGAAAAGCAAGUGGUGAACCAUUUGUUUGCCGGUACUUGAUGAAUAAGCCCCGGCUAAUUAUGUGCCAGCAGCCGCGGUAAGACAUAAGGGGCAAGUGUUAUCCGGAAUUAUUGGGCGUAAAGGGUGCGUAGGCGGUCUAGUAAGUCAGUGGUGUAAUGGCAACGCUCAACGUUGUCCGGCUAUUGAAACUGCUAAACUUGAGUUAGAUAGAGGCGAGUGGAAUUCCAUGUGUAGCGGUAAAAUGCGUAAAUAUAUGGAGGAACACCAGAGGCGUAGGCGGCUCGCUGGGUCUUAACUGACGCUGAGGCACGAAAGCGUGGGGAGCAAACAGGAUUAGAUACCCUGGUAGUCCACGCCGUAAACGAUGAGUACUAAGUGUCGGGUUAAACCGGUACUGAAGUUAACACAUUAAGUACUCCGCCUGAGUAGUACGUACGCAAGUAUGAAACUUAAAGGAAUUGACGGGACUCCGCACAAGCGGUGGAUCAUGUUGUUUAAUUCGAAGAUACCCGAAAAACCUUACCAGGUCUUGACAUGUUUUUGCAAAAUGAUAGUAAUAUCGUGGAGGUUACCAGAAACACAGGUGGUGCAUGGUUGUCGUCAGCUCGUGUCGUGAGAUGUUAGGUUAAGUCCUAAAACGAGCGAAACCCUUAUCGUUAGUUGCCAGCACGUUAUGGUGGGGACUUUAACGAGACUGCCAAUGAUAAAUUGGAGGAAGGUGAGGAUCACGUCAAAUCAGCAUGCCCCUUAUGACCUGGGCUACAAACGUGAUACAAUGGCUGUUACAAAGGGUAGCUGAAACGCAAGUUCUUGGCCAAUCCCCAAAAACAGUCCCAGUCCGGAUUGAAGUCUGCAACUCGACUUCAUGAAGUUGGAAUCGCUAGUAAUCGCGAAUCAACAUGUCGCGGUGAAUACGUUCGCGGGGUUUGUACACACCGCCCGUCA
rnacentral:rRNA from 1 species